GACGAACGCUGGCGGCGUGCCUAAUACAUGCAAGUCGAACGAACUCUGGUAUUGAUUGNUGCUUGCAUCAUGAUUUACAUUUGAGUGAGUGGCGAACUGGUGAGUAACACGUGGGAAACCUGCCCAGAAGCGGGGGAUAACACCUGGAAACAGAUGCUAAUACCGCAUAACAACUUGGACCGCAUGGUCCGAGUUUGAAAGAUGGCUUCGGCUAUCACUUUUGGAUGGUCCCGCGGCGUAUUAGCUAGAUGGUGGGGUAACGGCUCACCAUGGCAAUGAUACGUAGCCGACCUGAGAGGGUAAUCGGCCACAUUGGGACUGAGACACGGCCCAAACUCCUACGGGAGGCAGCAGUAGGGAAUCUUCCACAAUGGACGAAAGUCUGAUGGAGCAACGCCGCGUGAGUGAAGAAGGGUUUCGGCUCGUAAAACUCUGUUGUUAAAGAAGAACAUAUCUGAGAGUAACUGUUCAGGUAUUGACGGUAUUUAACCAGAAAGCCACGGCUAACUACGUGCCAGCAGCCGCGGUAAUACGUAGGUGGCAAGCGUUGUCCGGAUUUAUUGGGCGUAAAGCGAGCGCAGGCGGUUUUUUAAGUCUGAUGUGAAAGCCUUCGGCUCAACCGAAGAAGUGCAUCGGAAACUGGGAAACUUGAGUGCAGAAGAGGACAGUGGAACUCCAUGUGUAGCGGUGAAAUGCGUAGAUAUAUGGAAGAACACCAGUGGCGAAGGCGGCUGUCUGGUCUGUAACUGACGCUGAGGCUCGAAAGUAUGGGUAGCAAACAGGAUUAGAUACCCUGGUAGUCCAUACCGUAAACGAUGAAUGCUAAGUGUUGGAGGGUUUCCGCCCUUCAGUGCUGCAGCUAACGCAUUAAGCAUUCCGCCUGGGGAGUACGGCCGCAAGGCUGAAACUCAAAGGAAUUGACGGGGGCCCGCACAAGCGGUGGAGCAUGUGGUUUAAUUCGAAGCUACGCGAAGAACCUUACCAGGUCUUGACAUACUAUGCAAAUCUAAGAGAUUAGACGUUCCCUUCGGGGACAUGGAUACAGGUGGUGCAUGGUUGUCGUCAGCUCGUGUCGUGAGAUGUUGGGUUAAGUCCCGCAACGAGCGCAACCCUUAUUAUCAGUUGCCAGCAUUAAGUUGGGCACUCUGGUGAGACUGCCGGUGACAAACCGGAGGAAGGUGGGGAUGACGUCAAAUCAUCAUGCCCCUUAUGACCUGGGCUACACACGUGCUACAAUGGAUGGUACAACGAGUUGCGAACUCGCGAGAGUAAGCUAAUCUCUUAAAGCCAUUCUCAGUUCGGAUUGUAGGCUGCAACUCGCCUACAUGAAGUCGGAAUCGCUAGUAAUCGCGGAUCAGCAUGCCGCGGUGAAUACGUUCCCGGGCCUUGUACACACCGCCCGUCACACCAUGAGAGUUUGUAACACCCAAAGUCGGUGGGGUAACCUUUUAGGAACCAGCCGCCUAAGGUGGGACAGAUGAUUAGGGUGAAG
rnacentral:rRNA from 1 species